AUGGCUCAGGAUGAACGCUAGCUACAGGCUUAACACAUGCAAGUCGAGGGGCAGCAGUCAGGUUAGCUUGCUAACCUGGAUGGCGACCGGCGCACGGGUGAGUAACGCGUAUCCAACCUUCCCCCUGCUCAGGGAUAGCCCGGUGAAAACCGGAUUAAGACCUGAUAGUUUCACUAGAUGGCAUCUGACGGUGAAUAAGGGUUUCGGCAAGGGAUGGGGAUGCGUCUGAUUAGCUUGUUGGCGGGUAACGGCCCACCAAGGCGACGAUCAGUAGGGGUUCUGAGAGGAAGGCCCCCCACAUUGGAACUGAGACACGGUCCAAACUCCUACGGGAGGCAGCAGUGAGGAAUAUUGGUCAAUGGGCGGAAGCCUGAACCAGCCAAGUAGCGUGCAAGGAUGACGGCCCUAUGGGUUGUAAACUGCUUUUGUGCGGGAAUAAAGUCAGGGACGCGUCCCUGUUUGCAUGUACCGCAAGAAUAAGGACCGGCUAAUUCCGUGCCAGCAGCAGC
rnacentral:rRNA from 1 species